rnacentral:rRNA from 1 species
AUUGAACGCUGGCGGCAUGCCUUACACAUGCAAGUCGAACGGCAGCACGGGAGCAAUCCUGGUGGCGAGUGGCGAACGGGUGAGUAAUAUAUCGGAACGUGCCCAGUCGUGGGGAUAACGUAGCGAAAGCUACGCUAAUACCGCAUACGAUCUAAGGAUGAAAGCGGGGGGAUCGCAAGACCUCGCGCGAUUGGAGCGGCCGAUAUCAGAUUAGCUAGUUGGUGAGGUAAAGGCUCACCAAGCCGACGAUCUGUAGCUGGUCUGAGAGGACGACCAGCCACACUGGGACUGAGACACGGCCCAGACUCCUACGGGAGGCAGCAGUGGGGAAUUUUGGGACAAUGGGCGCAAGCCUGAUCCAGCAAUGCCGCGUGCAGGAUGAAGGCCUCGGUUGUAACGUGACUUUUGUACGGUAACGAAACGGUACCGCGUUUAA